rnacentral:rRNA from 1 species
GACGAACGCUGGCGGCGUGCUUAACACAUGCAAGUCGAACGGUGAACCUCUUCGGAGGGGAUCAGUGGCGAACGGGUGAGUAACACGUGGGCAACCUGCCCCCGGCUCUGGGAUAACUCCAAGAAAUUGGGGCUAAUACCGGAUGUUCACCGCUUCCCGCAUGGGUGGUGGUGGAAAGGGUUUCCGGCUGGGGAUGGGCCCGCGGCCUUGCAGCUUGUUGGUGGGGUAGUGGCCUACCAAGGCGACGACGGGUAGCCGGCCUGGGGGGGGAACCGGCCACAGGGGGCCGGGGCACGGGCCAGACCCCCUCGGGGGGGCGGAGGGGGGGAAAUUGGGGAAAGGGGGGGAGGCCGAAGGAGGAGCCGCGGGGGGGGGGAGGAGGGCCUUGGGGUUGAAAACCCUUUUCAGGGGGAAGGAGGGGCAGGGAAGGGAACCUGGAGAAGAAGCACGGGCAAAUUAGGG